AGAUUGGGUUUUCUUUUCUUAUAGAUUUCAUCUCUAAGAUACUAAUUCGGAAACAAAAGUGGCCAGAUGGAGUUGAUUGACAGGGCUUCUCUGAGAGGAGGACGAGCUGUAUACACUGAGGAAGGGAAUCAUGCCUGGGCUGGUGUUUUAUCCUCUCUGAAUGCAGCAAAGGAAGGGUUUUGCUGUCAAGAUGGAUUGGAUCAUCGUUUGAUCUUUUAUCACGGUGUUCACCUGGCUCCUGAAGGACAGACAUCAGCAGCAGAAAACAUCAUUACUCCCAACUGGCCUACAAGUAUUUGUCAACAAAUGGAUAGGUGACUGGCGGAUUGCCCUCAAAUCUCUGAACAUUGGUUCCAGCUUUAAAAUAUGGUUUCACAUCCUGUUUUCACCACUAAAUCAAGGUGAGUUAGAAAGAUCAUUUAACCCCUUUAUAU
rnacentral:lncRNA from 1 species